UUUGUUUGUCUCCGCACAAGCCUCACACUAGAGUUUUUAUAAAAAGUACUAAAUAGAGAGAGCUUUACAAUUUUGAAUAAUACUUCCAAACCCUGUCGUGCCAUGCUUAGAGGAUAAGAAAUUAUCAACAACUCUCUUCGCAUCAAGCUUGAAAUCAACAGGUCCAAGAUGAAGCUUAUGAACUUAUUCUAAUGUCGGUAACAGUCCAAGAACUUCUUCCACAUGAAAAUCAUAAGGCGAACUAUACCAUCCAAUUUUAGCCAACACAAAGGAGCAUAUUUCAUGUUCUAAAAAUAAAAAAGUAGCAUAUUUCAGAGUUUUACAAUUUUGAAUAAUACUUUCAAACCUUGUCGUGCCAUGCUUAGAGGAUAAGAAAUUAUCAACAACUCUCUUCACAUCAAGCUUGAAAUCAACAGGUCCAAGAUGGAGCUUAUAAACUUAUUCUAAUGCCGGUAACAGUCUAAGAACUUCUUCCACAUAAAAAUCAUAAGGC
rnacentral:lncRNA from 1 species